rnacentral:rRNA from 1 species
UACAGAGGUCUCAAGCGUUGUUCGGAUUCAUUGGGCGUAAAGGGUGCGUAGGCGGCGCGGUAAGUCGGGUGUGAAAUUCGAGGCUUAACUCGAAACUGCAUUCGAUACUGCCGUGCUUGAGGACUGGAGAGGAGACUGGAAUUUACGGUGUAGCGGUGAAAUGCGUAGAUAUCGUAAGGAAGACCAGUGGCGAAGGCGGGUCUCUGGACAGUUCCUGACGCUGAGGCACGAAGGCCAGGGGGAGCAAAACGGG